rnacentral:rRNA from 1 species
AACGAACGCUGGCGGCAGGCUUAACACAUGCAAGUCGAACGAUGUAGCAAUACAUAGUGGCGCACGGGUGAGUAACGCGUGAGAACGUGCCCUUCAGUACGGGAUAACACCGGGAAACUGGUGCUAAUACCGUAUAUUCCCUCCGGGGGAAAGAUUUAUCGCUGAAGGAUCGGCCCGCGUAAGAUUAGGUAGUUGGUGGGGUAAUGGCCUACCAAGCCUACGAUCUUUAGCUGGUCUGAGAGGAUGAUCAGCCACACUGGAACUGAGACACGGUCCAGACUCCUACGGGAGGCAGCAGUGGGGAAUAUUGGACAAUGGGGGAAACCCUGAUCCAGCCAUGCCGCGUGUGUGAUGAAGGCCUUAGGGUUGUAAAGCACUUUUGUCAGGGAAGAUGAUGACGGUACCUGAAGAAUAAGCACCGGCUAACUUCGUGCCAGCAGCCGCGGUAAU